UGGGGAAUAUUGCACAAUGGGCGCAAGCCUGAUGCAGCCAUGCUGCGUGUAUGAAGAAGGCCUUCGGGUUGUAAAGUACUUUCAGUCGGGAGGAAGGUGGUAAGGUUAAUAACCUUGGCAAUUGACGUUACCGACAGAAGAAGCACCGGCUAACUCCGUGCCAGCAGCCGCGGUAAUACGGAGGGUGCAAGCGUUAAUCGGAAUUACUGGGCGUAAAGCGCACGCAGGCGGUUGAUUGAGUCAGAUGUGAAAUCCCCGGGCUUAACCCAGGAAUUGCAUCUGAUACUGGUCAGCUAGAGUAUUGUAGAGGGGGGUAGAAUUCCAUGUGUAGCGGUGAAAUGCGUAGACAUGUGGAGGAAUACCGGUGGCGAAGGCGGCCCCCUGGACAAAGACUGACGAUCAGGUGCGAAAGCGUGGGGAGCAAACAGG
rnacentral:rRNA from 1 species